GCGGGAGUAGCUCAGUUGGUUAGAGCGUCGCCCUGUCACGGCGAAGGUCGCGGGUUCGAGCCCCGUCUCUCGCGCCA
rnacentral:tRNA from 2 species